GCCAACAUGGCAUAGUGGUUUGAGUCUUAGACUAUGACUCUGGAGACCAGAGUUUGAUUCUCAGCUUGGCC
rnacentral:tRNA from 1 species